rnacentral:rRNA from 1 species
GUCGAACGAACCCUUCGGGGUUAGUGGCGGACGGGUGAGUAACACGUUAGUACCUGCCCUCUAGUGGGGGAUAACUGCCCGAAAGGGUAGCUAAUACCGCAUGUGAUCACUUGUGAUCAAAGCAGAAAUGCGCUAGAGGAGGGGCUUGCGUCUGAUUAGCUUGUUGGCGGGGUAAUGGCCCACCAAGGCGAUGAUCAGUAGCUGGUUCGAGAGGAUGACCAGCCACACUGGGACUGAGAUACGGCCCAGACUCCUACGGGAGGCAGCAGUGAGGAAUCUUCCGCAAUGGACGAAAGUCUGACGGAGCAACGCCGCGUGCAGGAUGACGGCCUUCGGGUUGUAAACUGCUUUUAUUUGGGAAGAUUAUGACGGUACCAAAUGAAUAAGGACCGGCUAACUACGUGCCAGCAGCCGCGGUAAUACGUAGGGUCCAAGCGUUAUCCGGAAUUACUGGGCGUAAAGAGUGCGUAGGCGGGUGUCUAAGUGCAAUGCGAAAUCCUAUGGCUCAACCAUGUGGACUGUAUUGCAUACUGGAUACCUAGAGGAAUGCAGAGGCAAGUGGAAUUACCGGUGUAGCAGUGAAAUGCGUAGAUAUCGGUAGGAACACCAAUGGCGAAGGCAGCUUGCUGGGCAUUAUCUGACGCUAAGGCACGAAAGCGUGGGGAGCGAACAGGAUUAGAUACCCUGGUAGUCCACGCCGUAAACGAUGCACACUAUUAGUAUGGAGUAUCGACCCUCUGUGCUGAGAAGCUAACGCGUUAAGUGUGCCGCCUGGGGAGUACGAUCGCAAGAUUAAAACUCAAAGGAAUUGACGGGGCUCCGCACAAGCAGUGGAUCAUGCGGUUUAAUUCGAUGAUACGCGAGAACCUUACCAAGGCUUGACAUCCCUAUCGUACCCCUAGGAAACUAGGGGGUCAGUUCGGCUGGAUAGUG